UGGAGGACUCGCAGUUCCGACUUUAGGAUAUCUUUUGGCAAAUGUUGCUUACCAUGCUGUUCUCACUAAUGACGAGAUUCUAUCUGGAAUUGCUGUAGCCUAUGUAUUUGGAGAAAGGAAGCUGGGAUUCUUCAAGUGGGUUAUCCUUGCGUGUGUGGCAGCAUCAGCUGGAGGGAUUGCGAACAUUAACGUCUUCAUUUUCAGCAGAACGUACUUUGUGGGGGGUCGUGAUGGACUCUUUCCUCGCUUCCUCAGCAUGAUCAACAUACACAGAAAAACUCCACAACCUGCG